AAAGGAAUCAAAAGUUAAUGGCAUAACAGUAGAUAUGUUGAAGUGUUAGGGGCAAAAUGGGAAUUUAAUAAUAUUAAAAAAAGGGUGAAUAGUGUUUUGAUGUGAUUUAAUUAGGGGGUUUGCUGUGGCUUUUGGAAUGAAACCGAGAGACAGAGAGGGGGAGUCUCAGGUGUUUCACAGAGAGGAAAGAAAGAAAGAAAAAGAGAAGAAGAAGAAGAAGAAAGAAGAAGAGGAAGGGGAUUCGAGGAGGAGAGGGAUCCCGGUUGCACUUCCAGCUGAAGGGAAAAACGUAGAUCUCCUUCCCCUCUACGCAAGGACCUCGAUUUCCAAAAAAAAAAAGGUAAAUAUCCAUUUCUAUCUAGUCUUUUGAUGACAUUAGGCUAUACAAAGGGUGGAUAUAGUCUAGAGGGGUCGGAUAAGGGUUGUAGAGGCGGUUAAAAUAGGAAGAAUCGGAUUUUGACAAAUUCUUCCGGCACUACGGAAAAACUGUGUCGAAGUCCCAACUUCGGCGAAUUAUUUAGGGGGUCAAACG
rnacentral:lncRNA from 1 species